UACGUAGGGGGCGAGCGCUGUCCGGAUUUAUUGGGCGUAAAGAGCGUGUAGGCGGCUAGAUAGGUCCGUUGUGAAAACUCGAGGCUCAACCUCGAGACGUCGAUGGAAACCAUCUGGCUAGAGUCCGGAAGAGGAGAGUGGAAUUCCUGGUGUAGCGGUGAAAUGCGCAGAUAUCAGGAAGAACACCCGUGGCGAAGGCGGCUCUCUGGUACGUGACUGACGCUGAGACGCGAAAGCGUGGGGAGCAAACAGG
rnacentral:rRNA from 1 species